AACUUUUAACAAUGGAUCUCUUGGCUCUCGCAUCGAUGAAGAACGCAGCGAAAUGAGAUAAGUAAUGUGAAUUGCAGAAUUCAGUGAAUCAUCGAAUCUUUGAACGCACCUUGCGCCCCUUGGCUAUUCCGAGGGGCAUGCCUGUUUGAGUAUCAUUAAAUUCUCAAUCCCUUUCCUUUCAAGAAAGGCUUUGGAUUUGGAGUGUUGCUGGCUUAUUUUGUCAGCUCCUCUUAAAUGCAUUAGCUUGAUACCCUUUGUGGAUAGGCUUUGGUUUGAUAAUAUCUAUGCCAUUGCCGUGAAACAAAUGUCAGCUUCUAACAGACAACUCUUUGAUAUUUUGACCUCAAAUCAGGUAGGACUACCCGCUGAACUUAAGCAUAUCAAUAAGCGGAGGCU
rnacentral:misc_RNA from 1 species